AAGUGAUGAUGGCACACGUGAUGUGAGUAAAAGCUUGAUUGUUUAGGUCACUUUAACACCUGCUUCAUUGUGGUUCGCGCCAAAGAUUAAAAAUGAUGCAUAGUUGUGGCGGGGUUGGCUCAGUUGGUAGAGCGGGCGCCCAUAUAUAGAGGUUUAUUCCUCGA